rnacentral:misc_RNA from 1 species
GUUUGAAGCAAUGAAGGCUGUGGAGACUACUGUCAACUUAGGUCCAAUAGAAACUGUUUGAUAAUCUUUUCAAGGGGGAAUUUGUUUAUGUUUUAAUAGGACACUAAUUAAGAGGAUUAAAGAAGUUAAGGUUUCUAAAGCUGUGUUGUCCUUUUAGUUAAUAAUUUACUAUGUUACUUGAUGUGUCAUUGUCUGUUGUUUGGUAGUGAGCUGUUUGAGGUUGUUCUCUAUGGGGUAUAUUGUAAAGUUUCCUCUUUUACUU